rnacentral:rRNA from 1 species
AUUGAACGCUGGCGGCAGGCUUAACACAUGCAAGUCGAGCGAGCGGCGGACGGGUGAGUAAUGUCUGGGAAACUGCCUGAUGGAGGGGGAUAACUACUGGAAACGGUAGCUACUCCCGCAUAUCAUCAGCAGUGCCCAGUUGGGAUUAGCUAGUCGGUGGGGUAAUGGCUCACUAAGGCGACGAUCCAUAGUUGGUCUGAGAGGAUGACCAGCCACACUGGAACUGAGACACGGUCCAGACUCCUACGGGAGGUAGCAGUGGGGAAUAUGGCACAAGGGGCGCAAGCCUGAUGCAGCCAUGCCGCGUGUGUGAAGAAGGCCUUCGGGUUGUAAAGCACUGUCAGCGAGGAGGCGUUACUCGCAGAAGAAGCACCGGCUAACUCCGUGCCAGCAGCCGCGGUAAUAC